rnacentral:rRNA from 1 species
AUGACCAAUGGCUCACUCAACCGGCUUCUAUUUAACGACGUCCGGCCAAAUUGGAACACACGGGUUCAUAUCGCACUUGGGGUGGCAAGAGGGUUGCUCUACUUGCAUGAAGAGUGUAGCACACAAAUCAUCCAUUGUGACAUAAAGCCACAGAACAUUCUUCUUGACGACAACCUUGUCGCAAAGAUUUCGGACUUUGGCCUAGCGAAGCUUCUCUUGAGAAAUCAGACAAGGACAAACACCGGUAUUAGAGGUACUCGAGGAUAUGUCGCCCCAGAGUGGUUCAAGAACAUCGGGAUCACUGCCAAGGUCGAUGUCUACAGCUUUGGAGUGAUCCUACUCGAGCUUGUCUGCUGCAGAAGAAAUGUUGAUUUGGAGGUAGUUGAUGAAGAGUAG